rfam:Ovis aries breed Texel chromosome 1, whole genome shotgun sequence.
UCCCUGGUGCCUCAGUUGGUAAAGAAUCUGCCUGCAAUGCAGGAGACCCAGGUUCGAUCCAUGGGUGGGGAA